GCAGCAAGGGUGGUCUCAACCUGGGUUCAUUCCCCAGCUAAUAAAGUUCGAUUCUUUGUAGCGGCU
rnacentral:tRNA from 11 species